rnacentral:rRNA from 1 species
UACGUAGGGGGCGAGCGUUGUCCGGAAUUAUUGGGCGUAAAGAGCUCGUAGGCGGUUUGUCGCGUCUGCUGUGAAAACCCGAGGCUCAACCUCGGGCCUGCAGUGGGUACGGGCAGACUAGAGUGCGGUAGGGGAGAAUGGAAUUCCUGGUGUAGCGGUGGAAUGCGCAGAUAUCAGGAGGAACACCGAUGGCGAAGGCAGUUCUCUGGGCCGUAACUGACGCCGAGGAGCGAAAGCGUGGGGAGCGAACAGG